rnacentral:piRNA from 1 species
UAGGGUAAAAGCAUGUUCCUAAAUAUAAU